AGCAAUGCUGAAAGUAGAACAAUGAGAACAAUUCCAUGAAGGAAAAAGAAAAGUAAAAUACAAAGAGUUGUGGUGGUUAAGUCUGUAAAGGAUCAUAUUCAAUGUUUGGAAAUUUUUAAGAACAGCAGUUGUGGUCACCACAGUAAUAUCUCGCCUGUGAAGACAAGAGCCUGGGUCUUGUAGAAAAAAGAAAACCUUCUGAGUGCCC